AUUCAUUUUUCUUAAAAAAAAUCUCAAAUCCACGCGCCAUCUAAACAAAUCACAGAUCACGUAAAUGACAUGCGCUAUUUAAGCGCGUAAACAAAUUUCAAAAAACGUACUAAAAUGUUCCAGUAAACCAGGAAGUGCCACGUGUGUCCCCACCUGGCAUAAAAGCAUCGCAUCUUCUCAGAGCUUCAUUCAUCGCACAACAAAAUAAAAUCAAAAUAAAAAAGAAAAAUAACAUAAAUUAAUAAAAUAAUAAAAAUAAAAAUAAAAAAAUAAAAAAAUGAAAAAACCACCAUAAGCGACGAACGAAGGAGCGAAGCUAUGACGGUCAUUUCUCUCUCCUCCAAUCAACACCUCAAUCAUCAUCAUCAUCACCAUAAUUUUCUGCAAAUUCCUUUACUUUCAUCUACUCAAAUGUUCUAAAUUGAGUCGAAACUUUAUCAAUUUUGAUUUGAUUUUGAUGAUGAUUAUGAUGACGACGACAAUUUGAUUCUUGGAAAAAAAAAGGGAAAAAAAAUCUUCGUUUUUAGGGUUUCAAUCGAGUUUCCACUUGUCAGGUAAUUUGAUUUUGGAUAUUUCUGGUUUAAUUGUAAGAUUAUCGUGUAAAAUUAGAGUGAUUUUGGUUGUGUUGUUGAGUUCAAUGGUGAAAAUCUGGGAAUUGUAUGAAACUAAUGUGUAAUAAUAAAGAGGUUGAAUGUUUGGGAGAAGGGUUUUUAUUAAUUGAAUCUAUUAAUAAUAAUCAGCUGCAAAAUCAGGCUGUUUUUGUUGCAAUGGAGAAUAAUAAUAGUAGUGUUAUUGGUAGUAAUAAUUAUAAUAAUUUGAAUUUGGAUAUGAAUGUGAAUGAUGAAUCUUCGGCAUCUAGGGUUAAGUUUUUGUGUAGUUUUGGGGGGAGUAUAUUGCCGAGACCUCAAGAUGGGAAGCUUAGGUAUGUUGGGGGAGAGACAAGGAUUGUGAGUGUACCGAGAGAUAUUAGAUAUGAGGAAUUGAUGGGGAAGAUGAGGGAGUUGUAUGAGGCGACCGCAAUUUUUAAGUAUCAGCAACCCGAGGAGGAUCUAGAUGCACUUGUUUCGGUUGUUAAUGAUGACGAUGUUACUAAUAUGAUGGAGGAGUAUGAUAAGUUAGGGUCUGGGGACGGGUUUACGAGGCUUAGGAUAUUUUUGUUUUCUCAUCCGGAGCAGGAUUCGUCGUUGCAUUAUAUGGAUGGGGAUGAGAGGGAUACGGAGAGGCGGUAUGUGGAUGCUUUGAAUAGCCUGUGUGAGUCUCCUGAGUGUAGGAGACUACAACAGUUUAAUGAUUCCCCGGUUAUGACUCCUGUUGAUGAGGUGCAUAUUGCUGAUCAGAUGUUUAGUUCGAUGAAUCUCGAAGGGAGUGUGCAUAAUCAGAGGAACUUUGAGAUGGGAAUGCCACAGUAUAAUUUAAGGAAGCUUGCUAUUCCUAGUAUGGGUUCAGGGCAGCAUUUGGGUCAUGCUGCACAACGGUAUAAUGAGGAAACUCAAACUCCGUGGAGUCCGGCUUUCUAUUCCCCAAGAUGUGGUGGACCUCAUGAUACACGCACUUAUACUGAGUAUCCAUCUUCACCGUCAUCUGCUUGUUAUCGUAUGCCAUUUCAAGAAGUACCGGAUAAAUGUGUGGAUAGGAUGCCAGAUGAGUCUUCUCUUCAACAAGGAAAUGGUCAAAUCCCAUUUGAUCCUCAACAGCAAUACUCUGACAAUGUAGCCUGGAUGCCCCCUGGAGGUAUGCCUGUUGAUAGAGGUGGAUUCCCUGGAAAUAUACUUAAUGGGCAUAGUGUUCUGGAUAGACCAAGCGUCUGUGAGAAUUGCAAAAUGACUUUUCAAAGGAAUCCAGCUGCGUCUGACUAUCACUGGAGGCCUGAAGGUCAGGGUCAUGUGGAACAGUCGGCUGUUGCAAAUGGAUACCCUCAUGUUGCAAAUCAGUGUGUUGAAUGCUUUCCAAAGAGGGAACCUGUUAUGUUGAACAUGGAUCCAAAGUUGCAGCAUAGCAUAGCUGGAGUUGGAAGGAUGGGUGACCAUUAUAACUUAGAUGGUUCUGGUGCAAACAUCACUAUGAGACCGAACAACUUACCUGAGGGGCACCUAGUGUCACCACCUUAUGCCCCCCUUGAAGAUUCUCGCUACCCCCAACCUGGUGCCGAAUUGGGAGGUGAGGUUUUCCACGGCCAAGCUGUUGCUGCUGGUUCACAAGCUCACGUUCCUUUAGAGGAGCGAGGUGCCCAUGCUACAAACUUGCCAUACUCUUAUGGCACAGAUACUCCUCACCAAGUAUUACAUGGCCAUCCGUCUGCACAGGCUAUGUGGAGGAAUGUCUCAACCCCGGUGCAUGUGCCUCCAGUGUAUGAUCCUUCUAAUCUUCAGCUGAGAAACGGUAUGCCUAGCUCAUCAGUUCCCAGGGCUAAUGUUGAAGCCAGUCCCAGAUUCUUUGUCGGAGUUGAUCAAAGUCCUUGGGGUGAAUCUUCCCGGAGUAGGUUAGGAGUUGAAGGAUCUGCUACACCAGAAAGUCCUUAUGGCCAUUUUUUAAAAUUGAGUGCUGGUGCUCCUUUGCAGGAAAUUCACCCAACAUAUCCUCAAGAUCCUUUAAGAAACACACCUAAUAUCGGUAAUGUUCCUCCUAUUGAAUCUCGGAGACCUUCAACUAUAAUGAAUGAUAAUAUGCUUUCUUCUGGAACUAGAGAUCACACUCCUUUACAAAGAAUAGAUGCUAGUAAUGCUGUGGUCAGAUUAGAUGAAAGAAACAUUCAUCAUGAAUCCAAUGGAACUACUCACUUGAGAAAAGCUGAGCGCCCAGAUAUAAAUGGUUUCAUCUGUACGCAAGAAGAUAAUAAUGCAGAGAAUAAUUGCAAUGUGGCUUCACUUAAUACUAUCAAACUAAAUAACACAAGACCUGGUGGUGAAGAUAUUAAGUAUGGUAUUGAACCGGGAGAAACCAAUACUUGCCCACAAGUAGAGAAGGCAGACUUGAGUUUCUUGCCUGAAUUGGUAGCCUCUGCCAAGAAAGCUAAACUGGAAAGUGUCGAAAGGGUGAAAGCCAGAGCUCAGGAAGAUGGCAAUCCUGUUAUCUUGCAUGACAGUCCUGCAAAAAUUGCUAAUAUUGAUGAAACAGGAUCACCGGAUGUUGAAGGUAAUUCUGAGCGUGACUCUGACGAAAACAUUGAUACGUCUAAGAUUGAGCGCACAAAGGCUGAAGAUGAAGCUCUUGCUAAAGGACUUCAGAUAAUAUUCAAUGAUGAUCUCGAAGAGAUUCGUAUGCUUGGUUCUGGUACAUAUGGUGCUGUUUUCCAUGGGAAGUGGAAGGGUUCUGAUGUAGCUAUAAAAAGAAUUAAAGCUAGUUGCUUUGCUGGAAGACCUUCUGAAAGAGAGCGUCUUAUCGCGGACUUUUGGAAGGAGGCUUUCUUAUUGAGUUCGUUGCAUCAUCCAAAUGUAGUUUCCUUUUAUGGUAUAGUACGCGAUGGCCCAGAUGGGACAUUAGCAACUGUCACCGAAUUCAUGAUUAAUGGAUCAUUGAAACAGUACUUGCAAAAGAAGGACAGAACAAUUGAUCGGCGUAAAAGGCUAAUCAUAGCUAUGGAUGCAGCUUUUGGAAUGGAGUAUUUGCAUGGGAAGAACAUAGUGCAUUUUGAUUUGAAAUGUGAAAAUCUUCUUGUCAACAUGAGGGAUCCUCAUCGACCAGUGUGUAAGAUUGGUGAUCUGGGCUUGUCAAAGGUGAAGCAACAUACAUUGGUGUCAGGUGGUGUUCGUGGAACUUUACCCUGGAUGGCCCCUGAGCUUCUCAGUGGAAAGAGUAACAUGGUGACUGAAAAGAUUGAUGUGUACUCAUUUGGGAUCGUAAUGUGGGAGUUGCUCACUGGGGAGGAACCUUAUUCAGAUAUGCAUUGUGCCUCAAUAAUUGGUGGUAUCGUGAACAAUACAUUGCGUCCCCAAAUUCCAACUUGGUGUGAUCCUGAAUGGAAGUCUUUGAUGGAAAGCUGUUGGGCACCUGACCCGGUCGAUAGGCCAUCAUUUACAGAGAUUUCCCAAAAGCUAAGGAGUAUGGCUGCAGCAAUGAAUGUCAAAUGAGGCACAAGGCAGUUCAUGAACUUUGCAGGUUUGAUGUCUAUUAGCUUGACACUGAUCUCUCAAGUUCUGGAAAGCUAAUUAUUAUGCUGCAUUCUGCUUCAGACACAACUAUGAAGAAGUAUAACAGUUUUAGCAUUUCAUCAUAUAUAAUUCUUUUGUGUCACUAUGCACACUCUAGCUGACAUUCAGAAAGAUCAGAAAGUUGGGAGUGCCAUCCCAAAACUGAAUAAUGCCAUGCUUACUGGUGGUCAAUUUGUAGAGAGAAGGGCUCUUUGAUUUCUAAGCUGAAGUGGUGGAUUCCGUUGUAUAUAUAAGCCAAUAUAUUAUAUAGCAUGAUCCAUAAAGGAACAAAUAGUACCAUAACUUGCUAGGUUGUGAUCGCUGAAGUGGUCAAGUUCUUUUGGUUUAUAUUUAUAUUGUAGAUUAGGAAUAAAUUAUGUGUAAACAUUAAAUCAAGUAUGCUGUUGUAAAGAAGUACAUAUGAUUUUUGCUUCAACAGCUCUUUGUAGUUCAUACUACUGAUGUAUUGACAUCUUAUACUCGUCGAGCAUUAUGGUAGAUGUCUGAGAGGAGAGCUGAGCUGAAAAGAAAUUGUGGCAUAAUUUUUUGUGAAACCUGGUGAGAUUUCAAUUGACGCCUUGGCAGUUUUGAAUGUUUGAUUAUCACCUUCUGUAU